AUGGUUAAACUAUUUUGUCCCACAAUCGCGGAUGACUUCGUUGCGGUAGGGCUUGAUAUUCCUGUGCUUGUGGAACCAAGAAUGAAUAUUGGAGUAAAAUGUUGCAUCCCUUUGCUCCGUGCCAUGGAUCGGAUCGAUGCUAGUGACCAACCAUGCAUCACCCUAGGUCUGGGCGUUCGGUUCAGUUUCUACAAGUCCUCUUUUGGGGGAAUUCGGUUAGUAAAAGUGAAAACCGAAACAGGCACUAAAAAUGAGCUAACCAAAAUUUUGGUUAAGCGAAUUUUCGGUUCGGUUUUUGGUUUUAAACCGAAUUGUGGAUCAUGUAUAGAAAAUGCAAGUUCAAAACAUAUUUUGACAGCAUGA
rnacentral:rRNA from 1 species